AUCGGUGCCCAUGGCACGAGGGAAACACCUGUUCCCAUCCCGAACACAGAAGUUAAGCCUCGUAGCGGUUACUAUACUGCGUUUACUCGUGGGAAAAUAGCACGGUGCCGAAU
rnacentral:rRNA from 1 species